AACGAACGCUGGCGGCAUGCCUAACACAUGCAAGUCGAACGAUGCCUUCGGGCAUAGUGGCGCACGGGUGCGUAACGCGUGGGAAUCUGCCUUUCGGUUCGGAAUAACUCAGGGAAACUUGAGCUAAUACCGGAUAACGUCGCAAGACCAAAGAUUUAUCACCGAAAGAUGAGCCCGCGUAGGAUUAGCUAGUUGGUGAGGUAAAGGCUCACCAAGGCGACGAUCCUUAGCUGGUCUGAGAGGAUGAUCAGCCACACUGGGACUGAGACACGGCCCAGACUCCUACGGGAGGCAGCAGUGGGGAAUAUUGGACAAUGGGCGAAAGCCUGAUCCAGCAAUGCCGCGUGAAUGAUGAAGGCCUCAGGGUUGUAAAGCUCUUUUACCCGGGAAGAUAAUGACGGUACCGGGAGAAUAAGCCCCGGCUAACUCCGUG
rnacentral:rRNA from 1 species